rnacentral:rRNA from 1 species
CCUACGGGUGGCAGCAGUGGGGAAUAUUGGGCAAUGGAGGCAACUCUGACCCAGCAAUGCCGCGUGAGUGAUGAAGGUAAUUUUAUUGUAAAGCUCUUUUCUUUGGAACGAAUAAAUGACGGUACCAAAGGAAUAAGCCCCGGCUAACUACGUGCCAGCAGCCGCGGUAAUACGUAGGGUGCAAGCGUUACUCGGAAUCACUGGGCGUAAAGAGCGCGUAGGCGGGAUAGCAAGUCAGAUGUGAAAUCCUAUGGCUUAACCAUAGAACUGCAUUUGAAACUGUUAUUCUAGAGUAUGGGAGAGGUAGGUGGAAUUCUUGGUGUAGGGGUAAAAUCCGUAGAGAUCAAGAGGAAUACUCAUUGCGAAGGCGACCUGCUAGAACAUAACUGACGCUGAUGCGCGAAAGCGUGGGGAGCAAACAGGAUUAGAUACCCUGGUAGUC